GCCAGUAUGGUAUAGUGGUUAACAUGUGUGCUUUGGCUAAGUCAUGUGACAUCAUUGAAAGUCUUUUUAAGGUCCUGGGUUCAAGUCCCGGAACUGCCG